GAUUGUUUCGUUAUACCGUCGUCUCCUUUGGCCUUUAGGGUCUGAGCUUCCACCUGGGUGCAGUGCUACUGUCUCUCGCCUUCAUCACAUAUGUUGAGCAUGUUUUGCGGAAGAGGCUGGCAGACAUUUUAAACGCGUGUAUUCUGUCAAAGAAAUGUCAGCCAAACUGCACUCACAAGAACAAAGAGGCCCCGUGGGUGUACAUUAUUAAUAUAGCCUUCAGUGCCCUGGCAGUCUUCCACCUGGCAUACCUGGGCUCUCUGUUCAACUCCAGUGUGGACUACAUGGAUGAUGAUGAGGAGAGUGGCGUGGCCAACCACACCAUUCAGAAGUGGUCGGAGCUGAGCUGGGCCAGCCACUGGGUGACGUUUGGCUGCUGGGUGCUCUACCGCAUCAUCCUCUAGAUGUGUGAGGGAGUGGGAGCGAGAGAGAGCUGGGGACAGAGAGACAUAUAGAGAAGGGAAGCAAUAACAAGAGGGAAUUAACGUGAGCCUGUUAAGGAAAGACCGGCUCUCUACUCCUGCACUGUGAAGUUGUAUUGGACUGAAGAGUACAUACACACAACCACCCUAUGGACAGUAUAUUAACUAUUUUCUCAAUACCAACAUACAGUGCUCAGGACACCGCCUAAGAGACGAGGUAAUCUACUUACUGUAACCUGCUGGCGACAAACUAUUUUUGAUACUCUUGAAAUAAUGCCCCAAUCUUCCUUAAUCACAUUGUUUCGUUUGAGCUGCUGCAUUUGUCUACCCCUUGUGGCGAGAUGGAUCAACAGCAGAUGUGGAUCAGACAUCUCCAUGCGAUUCUCAAUCAAUACUCUUCCUGUUAGCAUGACAGUGGUCAAUCAUUCACUCUCUUUGAUGAACAACUAAGAACCCGUUGUCUAGUUUUCAGAAGUGAUUCCGUAAUACGCCAUUAAAGUAAUAUUUUCCUUUUCCUCCGUAUUCGAAAGCUACAUUUUUUUAUUUCACCCUACUUAGUUGUUACAUUUGUAGAGCAUGUAAAACCCCUGUUUUUGUGAUCACACAAAUCAGCAUUAUAAGAGCAUAUUUCCUUUGUGGAUUUUAAUAGAAAAUGUAUGUAUUUUUAAUUUAUAAAAAUAAGUGUACAUUG